GCUACGGGUGGCAGCAGUGGGGAAUAUUGCACAAUGGGGGAAACCCUGAUGCAGCGACGCCGCGUGAGUGAAGAAGUAUUUCGGUACGUAAAGCUCUAUCAGCAGGGAAGAAAAUGACGGUACCUGACUAAGAAGCCCCGGCUAAAUACGUGCCAGCAGCCGCGGUAAUACGUAGGGGGCAAGCGGUAUCCGGAUUUACUGGGUGUAAAGGGAGCGUGGGCGGCAGCGCAAGUCUGGAGUGAAAUCCCAGGGCUUAACCAUGGAACUGCUUUGGAAACUGGGGAGCUGGAGUGCAGGAGAGGUAAGCGGAAUUCGUGGUGUAGCGGUGAAAUGCGUAGAUAUUAGGAAGAACACCAGUGGCGAAGGCGGCUUACUGGACUGUAACUGACGUUGAGGCUCGAAAGCGUGGGGAGCAAACAGGAUUAGAUACCCGUGUAGUC
rnacentral:rRNA from 1 species